rnacentral:rRNA from 1 species
AGUGAACGCUGGCGGUAGGCCUAACACAUGCCAGUCGAACGGCAGCACAGUAAGAGCUUGCUCUUACGGGUGGCGAGUGGCGGACGGGUGAGGAAUACAUCGGAAUCUACUUUUUCGUGGGGGAUAACGUAGGGAAACUUACGCUAAUACCGCAUACGACCUACGGGUGAAAGCAGGGGAUCUUCGGACCUUGCGCGAUUGAAUGAGCCGAUGUCGGAUUAGCUAGUUGGCGGGGUAAAGGCCCACCAAGGCGACGAUCCGUAGCUGGUCUGAGAGGAUGAUCAGCCCCACUGGAACUGAGACACGGUCCAGACUCCUACGGGAGGCAGCAGUGGGGAAUAUUGGACAAUGGGCGCAAGCCUGAUCCAGCCAUACCGCGUGGGUGAAGAAGGCCUUCGGGUUGUAAAGCCCUUUUGUUGGGAAAGAAAAGCAGCAGGUUAAUACCCCGCUGUUCUGACGGUACCCAAAGAAUAAGCACCGGCUAACUUCGUG